rnacentral:rRNA from 1 species
CAUCGAGUGAUCCUCAUAUUGGGGGUCUGUCCCAUCGUCUAAAAAACGGUGGUUAGCAAGGGCCGGGCAAGACCGGUGCCAGCCGCCGCGGUAAUACCGGCGGCUCGAGUGGUGGCCGAUAUUAUUGAGUCUAAAGGGUCCGUAGCCGGCUUUGCAAGUCUCUCGGGAAAUCCAGCGGCUUAACCGUUGGUCGUCCGGGGGGUACUACAUUGCUUGGGACUGGGAGAGGUAGGAGGUACUCAGGGGGUAGGAGUGAAAUCCUGUAAUCCUCUGGGGACCACCGGUGGCGAAGGCGUCCUACCAGAACAGGUCCGACGGUGAGGGACGAAAGCUAGGGGCACGAACCGGAUUAGAUACCCGGGUAGUCCUAGCCGUAAACGAUGCUCGCUAGGUGUCACAACAGUCGUGAACUGUUGUGGUGCCGUAGGGAAGCCGUGAAGCGAGCCACUUGGGAAGUACGACCGCAAGGUUGAAACUUAA